rnacentral:rRNA from 1 species
AUGGCGUCCCGCCGCGUCCUCCACCUCCUAACGGCAUCUCGAGGCAUCUCCUCAACCCCACAUCUCGCCUCCCUCGGGUGGAUCAACAAGAUCAAGGACACCUUCACCGGCAAGAAGGCCGCCGACUCACCCUUCCCCCCGUCUGAAUCCUUCAAUCUCAACAUGUUCGCGGAUUCGAUGGAGAUGGCGAGGAAGGUGGGAACUUUCAAGAACUUCGUGUCAGGGAGAUGCAGCGAGGCCACCGUCGUAGCCGCCUGCGAGAAGCACGCCGCCGUUCUCCGCUACCUCGCCACCAUCGACCCAAUCGGCGAGAAGCUCAAAACCAGUGACAAAAUUAGUGCCACCAAGCAUUGCAACUGCACAAUUGCUGAUGUGGAGCACAUACUGGCCAAGUACACAUGGGCUAAAGAUGCCCAAAAGAAGAUUGAAAAACUCAAAGAAGAAGGAAAGCCAGUGCCAAAGACAUUUACUGAGGUGCAAAAUCUAAUGGGUAAUACAGCCUUUGACCUUGGAAGAGCUAAUCUGGAAAAGAGUGGUCAGAUAAGUAGGAAUGCUCUCUGCCCAUGCGGUUCUAAGAAACGAUAUAAAAAGUGUUGUGGGGCUUCUUGA